GAUGAAGAACGUAGUGAAACGCGAUACGUAAUGUGAAUUGCAGAAUUCAGUGAAUCAUCGAAUCUUUGAACGCACCUUGCGCCCCUCGGCAUUCCGAGGGGCAUGCCUGUUUGAGUGUCACGGAUCCUUCGAACCCCGCCGGUCUCCGACGAGCCGGCCGCCUGGGUUCGGUCCUGGGCGCUACGCCACCCCUCCGGGGUUGGCCCGCCUCAAAAGCAUCAGCUGGGCCUCGCGGCGUGGGCGGGCUCCGAUCGGCGUGAUAAGUCAUCUGCCGAGAGGGUGCCCGUCCGUCCCGCGGAUCGCGGUCCGCUCCCAACCCCUCCCCGCGCGCCGUCCCCCCCCCGGGGAGCGCGCGGGGACGUUUCGACGCUCUGGCCUCAAAUCAGGUAGGACCACCCGCUGAACUUAAGCAUAUCAAUAAGCGGAGGA
rnacentral:misc_RNA from 1 species